UUCGGCCACAUCACGUUGAAACAUAGGUUCCCGUAAGAUUACCGAACUUAAGCAACGUCGAGCCUGUUCAGUAUCUAGAUGGGUGACCUCUUGGGAAUAACAGGAGCUGUAAG